rnacentral:rRNA from 1 species
GGCCAGAGACCGAUAGCGCGAACAAGUAGAGUGAUCGAAAGAUGAAAAGCACUUUGAAAAGAGGGUUAAACAGCACGUGAAAUUGUUAAAAGGGAAGCGCUUGUGACCAGACUUGCGUCCGGUGAAUCACCCAGCUCUCGCGGCUGGGGCACUUCGCCGGCUCAGGCCAGCAUCAGCUCGCUGUCGGGGACAAAAGCUUCAGGAACGUAGCUCUCUUCGGGGAGUGUUAUAGCCUGUUGCAUAAUACCCUUCGGCGGGCUGAGGUACGCGCUCCGCAAGGAUGCUGGCAUAAUGGUCAUCAGCGACCCGUCUUGAAACACGGACC